rnacentral:rRNA from 1 species
AAUUCGAUUGAGUUUGAUCAUGGCUCAGGAUGAACGCUGGCGGCGUGCUUAACACGUGCAAGUCAAGGGGGCCCAGCAAUGGGCAACCGGCGAACGGGUGCGUAACACGUGAGCAACCUACCCAGGUGUGGGGGAUAGCCGUCCCAACGGACGGGUAAUACCGCAUACGCUCUUCUUUAGGCAUUUAGAGAAGAGGAAACCUUCGGGGCACCAUGAGGGGCUCGCGGCCUAUCAGCUAGUUGGCGAGGUAACGGCUCACCAAGGCUACGACGGGUAGCUGGUCUGAGAGGAUGGCCAGCCACAUUGGGACUGAGAAACGGCCCAGACUCCUACGGGAGGCAGCAGUGGGGAAUCUUGCGCAAUGGCCUAACGGCUGACGCAGCGACGCCGCGUGAGGGAUGACGCUCUUCGGAGUGUAAACCUCUUUUGCCCGGAACGAAUUGCCACCAUCAGGUGGCUUGACGGUACCGGUUGAAUAAGCACCGGCUAACUCCGUGCCAGCAGCCGCGGUAAUACGGGGGGUGCGAGCGUUGUCCGGAAUCACUGGGCGUAAAGGGCGCGUAGGUGGCGUGAUAAGGGUGUGGUGAAAGCCCGGGCUCAACCCCGGGUCUGCCAUGCCGACUGUCAGGCUCGAGUACUGUAGGG